rnacentral:tRNA from 1 species
GCCUUCGUGGUUUAGGGUACGCACACUCGACGCGUAACCGAGAUGUCCCAGGUUCGAUUCCUGCCGUAGGCG